GACGAACGCUGGCGGCGUGCUUAACACAUGCAAGUCGAGCGGUAAGGCCCUUCGGGUACGACGAGCGGCGAACGGGUGAGUAACACGUGGGUGACCUGCCUCUAGCUCUGGGAUAAGCCUGGGAAACUGGGUCGUAAUACCGGAUAUGACUCCACGGCGCAUGUUGUGGGGUGGAAAGCCUUGUGUGGCUAGAGAUGGGCCCGCGGCCUAUCAGCUUGUUGGUGGGGUGGAUGGCCUACCAAGGCGACGACGGGUAGCCGGCC
rnacentral:rRNA from 1 species